AUGUAAUAAAAACUCAUAUCAUCUAUUUAGACACAACCCCGAACAUGUACAUUUUAUGUGUUUGAAAACAUAAAUAAGACAUAUGUAGAAUUACAAUUUAAUCACUUAGCAGAAAGUCUAAUCCUUAGUGACUCACGUACAGUAUGUCUUAUCUUUUCAUCUGUCUAUAAAACAUAAAAACAUACACAUUUUAGCCAUGCUUGCUAUUUCUCAUGUUUGUGAAUGAAUGGGACUUACAUUGUAAUAUUGUAGACUGGGGAACAAGACCAGAGCAUCCAUGUUUACAACAAUUGUGCUUUUGAAUAAUCUACAAUGCUAUCACUAAUCAUUUUUUAAGCUUGUUCUUCAAUCAACAAAUGAAAGCAAUUCAUAGUUGUCAAAGUCUUUUAUUUCAUGUUUUCAAAGGUAAUUUAUUUCCAGCUGCUGAAAGAACAGUAGCCAAGUUGAAAUAAAAACUUGAGGGCUUAGAGGUCUAUGACAGUCAUUUAUAGAUACGAUAUUCCUUUGUAUUUAUUCAGUUGCAUAGCCAGUAUUUCUUCAGAGCACUUUAUAAAUGUUAUAAGCCUUAAACCCUUGAAAGCAAGUGCAAAAGUGGGAAAGGAAAUUAUACGCAAGAGAGAACACACUAUAAACCGAAUAUGGUUCACAGGGUAUCAAGUUUCAGCAGAUGAAAGUGUUACUCGUUUUUUCAAAGGGUCUACAUCAACUGAUGAAUGUUUAUAGCCUAAUUGGACAUUUAGUAUAAAAUGGAUGGAGUGUGUAGUGCAAUACAUAUUGUCAUGCGUUGUCAAGAAUUAAACACACAUUUGGAUCUCUAUAUAUCAUGACAACAAGCCAGAUUGGAUGCUAAAUUCGUUUAUUAACUGAUGUCAACUUAAUGUGUAGAAAUGAAAUAGGUUUGAGGUAGAUGGGACUGUAAUGGUGAUGGUGGAAUGAUGUCAUGAGCAGGCCUUAUGUCAAUCAGUAGUCAUAGGUGUGUGGUGACACAACAUAAAUUUAUACAACUCAUUUUAUCAUACGUUCAUCUUCAUCACUACUAACCCACAUUCAUAUUAACAUAAUGGGGGGAAAAAACACAUAUUAAUGAAUAACAAAUGAUAUGCCCAAAUGCCACCAGAAUUUAAGAACAACACUUUCAUGAGCUUCUCACAACAUUUGCUUGUCUGUUCUUAUGUAACUUGAGGUACAUGAUUGUAUACCAGUAAAACAGGUCCGCAACAAUAACAUGAAUAGAAGAAAUCUUCUAGACUAACAUGGCAAGUCUAGGUGUAUUUACCAUGAUGUAGAAUGUCAUCUGGAAAAGACAAACAUACGUG
ensembl:lncRNA